GGGGAGAAGACUUAGAUUCCUAGGCCUCACUGAGUCACUUAGAGUGUGCACUGGUGACCCACACAUUACUCAUAUGUCUGCUAGUUUGCUAAUCUGGGGUUGGCUCAGCAGGGUGGUUUUCUGCCAUUGUGGAUCUCAUGGAUGCCUGGAGGCAGGCUGGGUGUUGCUCAUCUAAAGUGGCCUCAAUGUAGACAACUGGUGUUCUGUAGUCUGGCCGUUGAAUGACCCCAAGGCUGAUGUGUUGAAGGUCUGGCUUUGAGUCUGGUGCUAUUGGAACCUCUUAGGAGGUCAGCAAGAGGACGGAUGGGCCAGCAGCCCCAGGGCAUCUUUCUGACUGACUGAGUCAAUCUCUCAACUCUGUGUGCAAACCUGACCUCCCCUCCUUGGACACAGCCUUCAUUUUCCAGUCCUGAGUCAUCUCCGGGAACCUUCUGUCCAGGCCACCAGCCAGCUGUCUCCCCAGACUCCAAGAUUGCUCAGAAGUUCCAAAGAGAAACUUUGCAACUGUGGAGCAGAGAAUCCAGACGACCCUUUGACUGCAUUCAAAACUGACUAAGAGCUGAUGGACGUUAUGUGAUCUCGGACCAGACAGCAUGAUGGGACAUUUGUGAGAACACAGUAUGUAAGUGAAGCAGAGAAGUGUUAGAUGAAACAUAUUAUCUGUAUUGUUCAAAACACCAUUGUUAUGCCAAGGAAAUAUCCCAGAUUUAAAAAGACCAAAGACACAAGAUAGGGGAAAUGAGAUAUGGCAUCCUAGACUGAAUCCCAGGGAAAUGGACAACACUGGAAUGUUGGUUUUGUUUUAGUUAGAAUUUUAUGCCUAUGAUAAAUUUCCUGAAUGUGUGAAC
ensembl:lncRNA